UCCACGCCGUAAACGAUGUCUACUUGGAGGUUGUGCCCUUGAGGCGUGGCUUCCGGAGCUAACGCGUUAAGUAGACCGCCUGGGGAGUACGGCCGCAAGGUUAAAACUCAAAUGAAUUGACGGGGGCCCGCACAAGCGGUGGAGCAUGUGGUUUAAUUCGAUGCAACGCGAAGAACCUUACCUGGUCUUGACAUCCACAGAACUUUCCAGAGAUGGACUGGUGCCUUCGGGAACUGUGAGACAGGUGCUGCAUGGCUGUCGUCAGCUCGUGUUGUGAAAUGUUGGGUUAAGUCCCGCAACGAGCGCAACCCUUAUCCUUUGUUGCCAGCGGUUAGGCCGGGAACUCAAAGGAGACUGCCAGUGAUAAACUGGAGGAAGGUGGGGAUGACGUCAAGUCAUCAUGGCCCUUACGACCAGGGCUACACACGUGCUACAAUGGCGCAUACAAAGAGAAGCGACCUCGCGAGAGCAAGCGGACCUCAUAAAGUGCGUCGUAGUCCGGAUUGGAGUCUGCAACUCGACUCCAUGAAGUCGGAAUCGCUAGUAAUCGUGGAUCAGAAUGCCACGGUGAAUACGUUCCCGGGCCUUGUACACACCGCCCGUCACACCAUGGGAGUGGGUUGCAAAAGAAGUAGGUAGCUUAACCUUCGGGAGGGCGCUUACCACUUUGUGAUUCAUGACUGGGGUGAAGUCGUAACAAGGUAACCGUAGGGGAACCUGCGGUUGGA
rnacentral:rRNA from 1 species